UAGAAUUCCACGUGUAGCGGUGAAAUGCGUAGAGAUGUGGAGGAAUACCGGUGGCGAAGGCGGCCUUCUGGACAGAUACUGACGCUGAGAUGCGAAAGCGUGGGGAGCAAACAGGAUUAGAUACCCUGGUAGUCCACGCUGUAAACGAUGUCGAUUUGGAGUUUGUUGCCUAGAGUGAUGGGCUCCGAAGCUAACGCGAUAAAUCGACCGCCUGGGGAGUACGGCCGCAAGGUUAAAACUCAAAUGAAUUGACGGGGGCCCGCACAAGCGGUGGAGCAUGUGGUUUAAUUCGAUGCAACGCGAAGAACCUUACCUGGUCUUGACAUCCACAGAAUCUUGCAGAGAUGCGGGAGUGCCUUCGGGAACUGUGAGACAGGUGCUGCAUGGCUGUCGUCAGCUCGUGUUGUGAAAUGUUGGGUUAAGUCCCGCAACGAGCGCAACCCUUAUCCUUUGUUGCCAUCGGUUAGGCCGGGAACUCAAAGGAGACUGCCGUUAAUAAAGCGGAGGAAGGUGGGGACGACGUCAAGUCAUCAUGGCCCUUACGACCAGGGCUACACACGUGCUACAAUGGCGUAUACAAAGGGAGGCGACCUCGCGAGAGCAAGCGGACCUCAUAAAGUACGUCUAAGUCCGGAUUGGAGUCUGCAACUCGACUCCAUGAAGUCGGAAUCGCUAGUAAUCGUGAAUCAGAAUGU
rnacentral:rRNA from 1 species